GCCGUGGCUCCCUGCACACGCUGCUCCGGCCCUUACGCGGCAGGAAUGAUCCCAGUCGACUCACGGGACUGAGGAGCCGGCGGAGCACGGUCAUCGUAAAGCCGAGAAUCCGGAGGCUCAGAGAGAGGCCGUAUUCGGAACAGCGGACACCGCCAACGCCACGCCGGGCAAUCCCCACGCCGGGCCACGCGAUCACAGGACGAAUGGCUAACAGCCAUUCUGUUGUUUAAGUGACCGCUAAGUGCAGGCUUGCAGUGUGGCCUAGCGUCCCGAGCACCAGCAGGCUGCGGCGCGCUUCGGGGAGAAAAUGAGAGAAUUUCGCUCAGGCCUGACUUACCGCGGCUGACCAGGCGGUCAAUGUCAUCAACAACACCUACUGAGUAACGCGUCUUCACACAGGAGCACACGUAAAACAAGGCUGCGUACUGACCGGUUAAGAGAGCGUGAUGACUAGCACCUCACAGGAGCCUCGCCCUGCACACCCGCUCGGGGCCCUGCUCAGUUUGGCUAAUUCUGUGUUUGCAGGGAACAUAAGCAUCGAUGUAUUUUACAUCCUGGUAUGCCAGAGACACGGGCCGAGUCCCUCUGGGACCUCUGUCUGCUCAUGGGUACCACCUCUGAGCCGUUUGUCAGUGAGUUCGUCAGCUCCUACCAUGGAACAUCUAAUGCUGGCCGGUGUCAGCCUUCUUCCAUCCAGUCGCUGGGAACAGAGACAUGGACAAAACAAAGCCCCUGGCUCCCUGGAGCUCCCAUUCUAGCGCCAGAAGAGAGAUGUCAAUAAAGAAUAAGUAAAUAAAUAGUAUG